AUGGGUUCUAGAUUUCCAUCACAUCAGCUGAGCAGUGGCCUUUAUGUAUCUGGCCGACCUGAGCAACCUAAGGAGAAGGCCCCGACCUUUGGAUCCAAUGUGAUGCCAUACACUGGUGGUGACACCAAGAAAUCUGGGGAGCUUGGGAAGAUGUUUGAGCUCCAUGCUGAAAGAUCUAGAAAAUCUGGUCCUCUAGGCAGUGCGCCUUCGAGAAAUCCUUCAUUUGGCGGUGCUGCUUCCAACUCUGGACCUGUGUCUAAUGCUGGUGGUCGGUCAAACUACUCUGGUUCUCUUUCAUCUUCAGUUCCUGGCGCCGGAGGAUCAGCAAGAGCAAAAUCUAACUCCGGACCACUCAAUAAGCAUGGAGAACCAGUAAAGAGGUCAUCUGGUCCCCAGUCUGGAGGUGUGACCCCAAUGGCUCGCCAGAAUUCCGGCCCUCUCCCUCCAAUGCUUCCUACGACUGGGCUUAUCACAUCUGGCCCUGUUACUUCUGGACCACUGAAUUCGUCUGGUGCCCCAAGAAGGAAAGUAUCUGGAUCUCUUGAUCCUGCUGCAUCGAUGAAGGCACGGGCCACAUCACUUGCUCACAACCAGGCUGUUACUACACUCACCAGUGAAGGUGGUUUCUCAGUUAUGGGAAGCAUUUCAAAGUGGGUAUUCUGGCUAGUGAUCACACUCUUGCUGUUCGGGUUUGCAGUAGGUCUCUUCAUUCUUAUUGCUGUUCACAAUGCGAUUGUGCUGAUAGUUGUUGUUGCAAUGAUUGGUUCUGUUGCUGCACUUGUGUCUUGGAAUGUUUGGCGGGGCAGGAGAGGCGUGCUCAGGUUUGUCAAUAGCUGUCCUGAUACUGAUCUCAGAACUGCAAAGGAUGGAGAGUAUGUGAAGGUUACAGGGGUUGUUACGUGUGGAAAUUUCCCCCUGGAGUCCUCAUUUCAAAGGAUUCCGAGAUGUGUGUACACUUCAACUAGGCUGUAUGAGUAUAGGGGCUGGGAUUCAAAAACUGCAAACCCCAAGCAUCGCCGGUUUACCUGGGGAUUACGGACAGCAGAGCGACAUGCGGUCGAUUUCUACAUUUCAGAUUUUCAGUCUGGGCUUCGAGCAUUGGUGAGAACAGGAAGCGGUGCACGGGUGACACCAUAUGUCGAUGAAUCGGUAGUAAUUGACGUCAAUCCUGAGAACAAGGACAUGUCUCCUGAAUUUCUAAGAUGGCUACGAGAAAGGAAUCUCUCAAGUGAUGGUCGGAAAAUGCGCCUAAAAGAAGGAUACAUCAAGGAAGGCAGCACUGUGAGUGUGAUGGGGGUCGUUCAAAAGAAUGAGAGCGUCUUGAUGAUAGUACCUCCAUCAGAGCCCAUCUCAUCUGGUUGCCAGUGGGGGAGUUGUUUCUUCCCAGCAAACCUUGAAGGACUAGUCGUGAGAUGUGAAGAUACUUCAGACAUGGAUGUCAUACCAGUAUAG
rnacentral:rRNA from 1 species